UACGAAGGGGGCUAGCGUUGUUCGGAAUUACUGGGCGUAAAGCGCACGCAGGCGGAUUGAUAAGUCGGGGGUGAAAUCCCCGAGCUCAACUCGGGAACUGCGUCCGAUACUGGUGGGCUUGAAUCCGGGAGAGGGAUGCGGAAUUCCAGGUGUAGCGGUGAAAUGCGUAGAUAUCUGGAGGAACACCGGUGGCGAAGGCGGCAUCCUGGACCGGCAUUGACGCUGAGGCGCGAAAGCUGAGGGGAGCAAACGGG
rnacentral:rRNA from 1 species